rnacentral:rRNA from 1 species
GGGGGACAACAGUUGGAAACGACUGCUAAUACCGCAUACGAUCUAACCUCGGCAUCGAGGAUGGAUGAAAGGUGGCCUCUAUUUAUAAGCUAUCACUGAAGGAGGGGAUUGCGUCUGAUUAGCUAGUUGGAGGGGUAACGGCCCACCAAGGCGAUGAUCAGUAGCCGGUCUGAGAGGGUGAACGGCCACAUUGGAACUGAGAAACGGUCCAA